GACGAACGCUGGCGGCGUGCCUAAUACAUGCAAGUUGAGCGCUGAAGGUUGGUACUUGUACCAACUGGAUGAGCAGCGAACGGGUGAGUAACGCGUGGGGAAUCUGCCUUUGAGCGGGGGACAACAUUUGGAAACGAAUGCUGAUACCGCAUAAAAACUUUAAACACAAGUUUUAAGUUUGAAAGAUGCAAUUGCAUCACUCAAAGAUGAUCCCGCGUUGUAUUAGCUAGUUGGUGAGGUAAAGGCUCACCAAGGCGAUGAUACAUAGUCGACCUGAGAGGGUGAUCGGCCACAUUGGGACUGAGACACGGCCCAAACUCCUACGGGAGGCAGCAGUAGGGAAUCUUCGGCAAUGGACGAAAGUCUGACCGAGCAACGCCGCGUGAGUGAAGAAGGUUUUCGGAUCGUAAAACUCUGUUGGUAGAGAAGAACGUUGGUGAGAGUGGAAAGCUCAUCAAGUGACGGUAACUACCCAGAAAGGGACGGCUAACUACGUG
rnacentral:rRNA from 1 species